rnacentral:rRNA from 1 species
GUGCCUAACACAUGCAAGUCGCACGAGAAAGGGUAGCAAUACCUGAGUACAGUGGCGCACGGGUGAGUAACACGUGAAUGAUCUACCUCCGAGUGGGGAAUAACUGAGAGAAAUCUUGGCUAAUACCGCAUAACACUUACGAGUCAAAGCAGCAAUGCGCUUGGAGAGGAGUUCGCGGCCGAUUAGCUAGUUGGCGGGGUAAUGGCCCACCAAGGCGAUGAUCGGUAUCCGGCCUGAGAGGGCGCACGGACACACUGGAACUGAAACACGGUCCAG